rnacentral:rRNA from 1 species
UACGAAGGGGGCUAGCGUUGCUCGGAAUCACUGGGCGUAAAGGGUGCGUAGGCGGGUUUUUAAGUCAGGGGUGAAAUCCUGGAGCUCAACUCCAGAACUGCCUUUGAUACUGAGAUCUUGAGUUCGGGAGAGGUGAGUGGAACUGCGAGUGUAGAGGUGAAAUUCGUAGAUAUUCGCAAGAACACCAGUGGCGAAGGCGGCUCACUGGCCCGAUACUGACGCUGAGGUGCGAAAGCGUGGGGAGCAAACAGG